AGAGUUUGAUUAUGGCUCAGGAUGAACGCUGGCGGCGUGCCUAACACAUGCAAGUCGAACGGUUAAACCGGCUUCGGCCGGACAUAGAGUGGCGAACGGGUGAGUAACACGUGACCAACCUGCCCCGCGCACCGGGAUAGCCCCCCGAAAGGGGGAUUAAUACCGGAUGCGCCGGGAGGGCCGCAUGGCCCUCCCGGGAAAGCCUUUGCGGCGCGGGAUGGGGUCGCGGCCCAUCAGGUAGUAGGCGGGGUAGAGGCCCGCCUAGCCUACGACGGGUAGCCGGGUUGAGAGACCGACCGGCCACAUUGGGACUGAGAUACGGCCCAGACUCCUACGGGAGGCAGCAGUGGGGAAUAUUGCGCAAUGGGGGCAACCCUGACGCCAGCAACGCCGCGUGCGGGACGAAGGCCUUCGGGUUGUAAACCGCUUUCAGCAGGGAAGACAUCGACGGUACCUGCAGAAGAAGCCCCGGCUAACUACGUGCCAGCAGCAGC
rnacentral:rRNA from 1 species